rnacentral:rRNA from 1 species
UACGUAGGGCGCAAGCGUUGUCCGGAAUUAUUGGGCGUAAAGAGCUCGUAGGCGGCUUGUCGCGUCGACUGUGAAAACCCGCGGCUCAACUGCGGGCCUGCAGCCGAUACGGGCAGGCUAGAGUUCGGUAGGGGAGACUGGAAUUCCCGGUGUAGCGGUGGAAUGCGUAGAGAUCGGGAAGAACAUCGGUGGCGAAGGCGGUCUGCUGGGCCGUUGCUGACGCUGAGGCGCGACAGCGUGGGGAGCAAACAGG